GAGUCUACUGAGAAACUAACCAAGUAUAAAGCCAGUCUUUGAAAUGAAAAGAGGGAAUAAGAAUUUGGAGCCAGGUCUGGACAGUCUGAUUAAAAAGAAGAAUUACCCAAUACAAAGAACUCUCUUCUACUAAGCUUUCCAAUAUUGUAAGCUGUCUAAAGCUGAUUUGUCAUGUAGUCUCAAGUGUGAGUUUUAAAUAUGAACUCACACUGGGACAGAAAAGUCAGCAUCUUAUCCUGCUGCCCACGGAACAUUAGUAAGAAGACGAAGAUGGGUUCAGUCUGAGGCAGUGUCAGCGAAAGGGGAAUGGAACCAACAUGAAUGGUCUUAUUGCUGUUGCUCCUCAGGUUUGCAACAAGUAAAGAGAAAAAUCUCCAGGGAAAUCUUGCCUAGACUAGACUCCUUCUACAAAGAGAUUUCCCUCGAGCCAUCCAAGCCCAGAAUGGCUGCAGCAUCCAACAGACUUAUAGCCCUGGAUCCUUACAUCUCAGAGGAACAGAAGAGAAUUCUAAAAAUGAUGUUAAAAUCUUAUUUAUUUUAUGACUUCACUUGAGGAACUUUUAAAGUUUUUGCAAAAAUAAUCCAAUACAACUAAAAUCAGUAAGGAAACAAUAAACUAGAGGGGGAAAAUCUUGGUAGCA
rnacentral:lncRNA from 1 species